rnacentral:rRNA from 1 species
UAGCGUAAUCACUUGUCCCUUAAAUGGGGACCAGUAUGAAUGGCCCUAUGAGGGCCUAACUGUCUCCUUUAGCUGCCCAAUGAACCUGAUCUCCCAGUACAAAAGCUGGGAUAAACCCAUAAGACGAGAAGACCCUGUGGAGCUUCAGGCCCCACAAUAAUCUGCCCAAUAUUGCCCGCCUUCAGUUGGGGCGACUACGGAACGAAAUAAAACUUCCACGCUAAGCUCACUGCAACGGUAAACACACCACCGCAUCCCACCAUGACCCAGUACUACUGAUCAACGAACCAAGUUACCCCAGGGAUAACAGCGCCAUCCUCUUCCAGAGCCCAUAUCGCCAAGAGGGUUUACGACCUCGAUGUUGGAUCAGGACCCCCAGGUGGUGCAGCCGCUACCAAUGGUUCGUUUGUUCAACGAUUAA